rnacentral:lncRNA from 10 species
CGAGUGCUGCGUUCGGCUGUGCUGGGAAGUUGCGUAGACAGUGGCCUCGAGACCCUGCCUGCCUGAGGAGGCCUCGGUUGGAUGCGAAGGAGCUGCAGCAUCCAGAGACUAUGGAAGAGAGUACCUGGAUCUAGUUUAUUCCAAAGACAGACAAGCAGUUUGUGCCUCCACUCCAGGAUGACUAACUACAACGAUUACACGUAAAAAGACAAAACAAGGCCGGGCGCGGCGGUUCACGCUUGUAAUCCCAGCACUUUGGGAGGCCGAGGCAGGCGUAUUACGAGGUCAGGAGAUCGAGACCUUCCUGGCUAAGACGGUGAAUCCCCGUCUCUACUAAAAAUACAAAAAAUUAGCCGGACAUGGUGGCGGGCGCCUGUAGUUUCAGCUACUCGGGAGACUGAAGCAGGAGAAUGGCGUGAACCCGAGAGGCGGAGCUUGCAGUGAGCUGAGAUCGCGCCACUGCACUCCAGCCUGGGCGACAGAGCGAGACUCCGUCUCAAAAAAAAAAGAAAAAGAAAAAGAAAAAAAAAAAAACCUUGCUACACUAAGUUCCUGAGGGCCAAGGAAAGCCAUUUAGAUCUUUGGGUUUCAUUUGCUUCACUUAAGCAUCUUUAUUUUUGCACUUGAACGUCUGGCAGAGCAUUUUGAUGAUGAUGAUGCACAAAUACUACGAAUAAAUGGAUGCGUGACUAGCUAAA